rnacentral:rRNA from 1 species
AGGAUAAACGCUGGCGGCGUGCCUAACACAUGCAAGUCGAACGCGCUUUCGGGCUUCGGUGCGAGAGCGAGUGGCGGACGGGUGAGUAACACAUGGGUACCUGCCUUUCAGUGAGGGAUACCGGCGAGAAAUCGCCGACAAUACCGCAUGGGCUUGUGGGAACACAAGCAAAGUGGCGCAAGCCACGCUGGAAGAUGGGCCUGUGGCCGAUUAGCUAGUUGGGGGGUAACGGCCUCCCAAGGCGACGAUCGGUAGCUGGUCUGAGAGGACGAUCAGCCACACUGGGAUUGAGAACGGCCCAGACUCCUACGGGGGGCAGCAGUGAGGAAUUUUCCGCAAUGGACGAAAGUCUGACGGAGCAACGCCGCGUGCAGGAGGAAGGUUUUCGGAUCGUAAACUGCUUUUCUCGGGGACGAGCAAGGACGGUACCCGAGGAAGAAGCCCGGCUAACUACGCGCCAGCAGCCGC